rnacentral:lncRNA from 1 species
UCAUGUGGUAGGCCGCGUAGGUGACAGCUAAGUUGGUCCUCUGUAGUCCACCUCCUGUUAGCAGGACUGGUAGGGUUUAUCAGCCUAUGGAUAAGCAUCAUUUGUGGUGUAUUCUUAUCACGUGGUUUAUCCUAGACAUAGACAUACCCCUUUGAAGUAGAGAAACCAUAGUUAUCCUCUCUAUUCUCCUACCAUCGCCCAUAUACUAGAUUGCUCUACUCUCCAUUCCCAUAUUAUCACCCAUUGUUAUCUUACCUUUAAUAUUGUUCUUAUUCAAUUCUACCAUCUUUCCUAUUUACACCUACCUAUCUAUCUAGGUUAAGUUAGAGCGUAGAUUAGUUCUCCCGUUUCCCUGUGGAUACGAUAAAACCUUUAACCGGGUAAAAGCUACAACGGUAUCCCUGCGCUUGCGGAUUUAUCUGUGUGUGUAUAAAUACCAUAGUACACUCUAGUGCCAUGCUGGGGAUGACAACAUAGUAUUCAAGUGGUGUUAGCAAGUGUCAACAAGCUUUUUGGCGCUGUUGCCGGGGAAACAGUUGCUGAGUUGACUACGAACUAGCUUAAUCAUUUUCUAAAAAAAUAAAAAAAUAUAUUUUUCCUUUUUAUCCUUUGCCUUAUCUCUGCUAUUCUUUCUUCUUAUCUAAUCCUUGAUCUCUGGUCUAUCAUGAAUUCAAACAUGUCUAUCUAUGAAUUUCAUAGACCUACGGGCACACAUCUCGAACCACCGAAAUCUUCAAAGCCUAUCAUAGCAUCUAGUUUUGAGAUAGACCCC